UACGUAGGGUGCAGGCGUUUAAUCGGAAUUACUGGGCGUAAAGCGUGCGCAGGCGGUUUGCUAAGACAGGUGUGAAAUCCCCGGGCUUAACCUGGGAACUGCGCUUGUAACUAGCAGGCUAGAGUGUGGCAGAGGGGGGGUGGAAUUCCACGUGUAGCAGUGAAAUGCGUAGAUAUGUGGAGGAACACCGAUGGCGAAGGCAGCCCCCUGG
rnacentral:rRNA from 1 species